GUAUAGCUCAGUGGUAGAGUGUGUGCUUAGCAUGCAUGAGGUCCUGGGUUCAACCCCCAGUAC
rnacentral:tRNA from 1 species